rnacentral:rRNA from 1 species
CAGUCGCCGCGGGAAUACGAAGGGGGCUAGCGUUGUUCGGAUUUACUGGGCGUAAAGGGCGCGUAGGCGGACUGAUAAGUCAGGGGUGAAAUCCCAAGGCUCAACCUUGGAACUGCCUUUGAUACUGUUUCUCUUGAGUUCGAGAGAGGUAAGUGGAACUGCGAGUGUAGAGGUGAAAUUCGUAGAUAUUCGCAAGAACACCAUUGGCGAAGGCGGCUUACUGGCUCGAAACUGACGCUGAGGCGCGAAAGCGUGGGGAGCAAACAGGAUUAGAUACCCCCGUAGUCCCUGUCUCUUAUAA